CCAUCUUUAAGCUGAGAAUUCUCCAGCCACAAUCUUUAUUAAUUUUAACUUGGUAUAGAGCCAAUCAAGAAGAAUCAUCUGCAAUAGAAACAAACAAUUCAGGUUCGUCUAGCUAAAAAAUGACAGCAUAAGAAGUAACGAUAGCAACAACACCUUCAGUAUUUCAAGCAAUCCCUUUAGAUCUUACUGCACAGUCAACUUUGAUCAUAAUGAUUUCUUAUUAUGGAAAAAUAUGGUUAUUAUAAGCCUCGAAACUGGAAAUAUUAUUCAGUAAACAGCGGAUGAAAUUUGCACCUCAACAAAAAAGAAAAUAGCACAGAUCAGUAAAAAUGAAAGAGUCAAACCGAGCGAAAUCAAAACAAAGGAAGAAAUGAAAACAGAUUAACGGAUAAAAAAUACAAACACAAACAAAUUAGUAAUUUUAAAUACAGAGACAAAUGGGUACGAACACCUGUCAUUAAGAAUCGAUUCAGUUCUGCUGUGCUGCUGGCACCUCUCCCACAUUCUGUGUAUUCAUGACAGGAGAUCAUUCUGAACUUGCCUGCAAAUCAUCCUUAUAAUCAUCAUAUCCUAUAUACUCAUAAAUGUCAUAGCUUCAAGCCCCUAACUGAGCAAGGAACAUCAGAAGUUCCUUAUACUGGAUGCUCAUAUUUACAAUACACGCCCAGGAAACAGGUUUGAGUAAAGAAAAAGGAAGAAUGCUCUGGCUAUCUUGAAAACACUACACUACCAAAGUUGCAUAUUACAAACAGCUUAGACACAGGAAUGAACAAGGGAACACACCUUGGACGCACAAGGACCAACAUAGAAAUAUUACUAUAACAUGCUGAUUGAAGACACCAAGAUCCAGAGGUCCUUAAAGGAGUUCAAUAAUGGAAGGGUCUGGCAAUAAUUUUACAUAUUGGUCAUCG
rnacentral:lncRNA from 1 species